AGCAAUGGCCACAGGACAAUCUAAAAUCAUUGACGUCUUUCCCCUUUGUUGUAUCGUGUCUUCUCAACUGUAUCCUCAUCACUCUACUCUCAGUGGCGGUAAAGAGAUGUUCAACUCUGAAGAAAAACAACACAAGUGUGGAGCCGCCCCAUGACUCUGACCCUCACAAUUCUGAAAUGAUGUUGUCCACAACACCAAGAGCAACACGGAUAAGAAACCUUGGCAGCUCUUACACAGAGAUACUAUACUCUAAGGUUUAGGAUGGGUUUUGCACUUUUCUAUAGACAUAAUCUAUCACAAUGUACUGUUUUUAAUUGUGGAAGACCAAAGAAAUACUGCAAUGGCAUUUCCAUAUUCUUACAUCAUUUUAGUAAUA